rnacentral:rRNA from 1 species
GAUGAACGCUGGCGGCGUGCUUAACACAUGCAAGUCGAACGAGAAAUGGAGACGGAAACCUUCGGGCGGAAGGCUUCAUUUCGAGUGGCGGACGGGUGAGUAACGCGUGGGUAACCUGCCUCAUACAGGGGGAUAACAGUUGGAAACGACUGUUAAUACCGCAUAAGACCACAGCACCGCAUGGUGCGGGGGUAAAAACUCCGGUGGUAUGAGAUGGACCCGCGUUCGAUUAGCCAGUUGGCGGGGUAACGGCCCACCAAAGCGACGAUCGAUAGCCGAUCUGAGAGGAUGACCGGCCACAUUGGGACUGAGACACGGCCCAAACUCCUACGGGAGGCAGCAGUGGGGAAUAUUGCACAAUGGGGGAAACCCUGAUGCAGCGACGCCGCGUGAGUGAAGAAGUACUUCGGUAUGUAAAGCUCUAUCAGCAGGGAAGAAAAUGACGUUACCUGAGGAAGAAGCCCCGGCUAACUACGUG